UACGUAGGGUGCGAGCGUUAUUCGGAAUUACUGGGCGUAAAGCGUGCGCAGGUGGCCGCGCAAGUCGAGUGUGAAAUCCCCGAGCUUAACUUGGGAAUUGCGCUCGAAACUGCGUGGCUCGAGUGUGGCAGAGGAAGGUGGAAUUCCACGUGUAGCGGUGAAAUGCGUAGAGAUGUGGAGGAACACCGAUGGCGAAGGCAGCUUUCUGGGCCAACACUGACGCUCAUGCACGAAAGCGUGGGGAGCAAACAGG
rnacentral:rRNA from 1 species